UUAAGCAAAUCCAAUCUACAAUCUGAGAAAUGUCAAAUACAUGAGCCAGUAUACAGAUCUGGAGGCAGAAAGGUGAAAUCAAUCCUCUGGUGGGUAACCCAUAGGCUACCACAGGCAGUGAUUUUGAAUAAAUCAGUUUUUCUUUGUCCCCGUAGAAGAGGAAUAGUAAUGCUUUUUCUCUGCACAGGCUGUUGUGAAGCUUAAAACUGUAAUACCCUUGUAUUAGUAAUACACUUGUAUUACAGUGAGAUGACUUUAUAUGUGCAGUUAAAAUGGUUUGGUUCUUAUCUCUCUCUCUGGAACUGGAUUUAUAAUUAACUGACAUACCAACAGGACUUGGAGGACUGUUAGGCACUGCAUGUGCUACGUGAAGGUUAUAAAAGGAGAAGAAGAGAGUGCCAAGGUUACAAAUGCCUGUGGUACAUACACAGAAAAUGAGAAGGAAAACCAGCAUGAAUUAUUAGAAAGGCAAAAGGAAUACUGAGAGGAUAAGGUCAUGAAAACCCAAAGGAUGAGAUUUCAAGGUAAAUGUGAUCAGCAAGCUCCAAGGCUGAUUUAAAACAAAACAAAACACAGCCAAAUGAACUGGAAAAGCUGGGAACUAACAACAGAUAAAGUUGCAGAUUAGUAAUUUCUUUGCUCAUUGCUUUUAAAGGGAAGAAAGUACAGCAGCAGAGGCAGAAGAAAGUGGGUUAAAAAUUAAUUUUACAUCCCCAGCAUGAAUUGGACGGAUUUUUAAUCUAGGCUUGAUGAGAGUUGUUCUUUAAUGGAAUAUGAGGUACGUCAGAAAUACUAGGUUAGACAUUCCUCUACUUUGCUUUAAACUGAGACUAAGGCAACUGAAUUCCAUGGACUUGCAGUGUUGUUAAACUGGGCUAAAUGAGAAGACAGUCAAGGCUGUUAUUUUCAAAAUCUUCAGAAAUGCGAACAGUGAUGUUCUGCCAGAAAGAAGCGGAAGAGUUAAAGACCUUUUGUAUUUGUUGUGUACUCCUUCGGCAAACAUAAUGGAGAUGAAAGUCACAGACUCCAACUAGGAAACAAAUAAGAAAAGGACCAAGUUACCAAGAUGCUGGAUGGUGGUGAACACAUCUAUCCCUGAGGAUUUGCACAUUGCAAGGGCAGAAUUCACAAGAAAGCAGAGAGUUCCUGUGUAGCUGGUGGGACAGCAAGCAAGCUGUUGCACAACUCAGUGGUCAGAUCAGGCCUGAGGAAGUUCUGCCGGGAUCCUCUUUGUAUUCUGUUUUUCAAAUGUGAGUAACAUCUGUUUUCUUAAAUUAGGAAAUUGGAGAGUGGUUUUGUGCUAUGUUUCUGAAUAAUUUUCUGCAUGACAGAGUCAUGUGCUCUAGAUAUUUGGAAAUACCAGGUUUUAGCAACUCCUCCUUGGCUGCCUGGAGAAUAUUUAAAGCUCAUUGUUAGAGCUUUACUUCUCUAAUAUGUGACUUGGCGAUUUAUUGUCCUCGUGAAUCUGUCGACAGAUUCACCUGGUAUUCAACUUUGCUAAUAGCUGUAUUUCUUUAUUUAUUAAACACAAAGGCCUGAGCCUGGGCUGGUGUCUUUGCUCUGGGAGAACUCCAAAAAGCUGGGCUCUGCAUACACUGGACUCUGAAGCAUUUGCAUCUCUAUAGUUUCUAGCAAGGUGCAAGUUCCACCCAAUUUUUUUUCCCUGCUCAGGAUGUUUAUAAUCACUCCUAGGGGCUCUCUCCCUCUAUCAGAUUGACCAGUUGACCAACAGAUUAAAAAAUUAUUAAGGGUGGGGAGGAAGGACAGACACACAUGCACACCCACACACAAAGGCUGUGAGCACUCCACCUUUGUGCUCAUACGGGCUUUGUUUCCUUGAAAAUCCAGCUACUAAAAUAGACAGCAGCUGUGACAAUAAAUGAAAUCUGGCAGCAAGACUGAAGAUUUGCAAGCCUUUUGGUUUUGGGAUUUGCAAAACCUAUUACUUUUUUAAAACAUGUUAGAGGAACACAUCAGGAUUCACGAGUAUGAAAGAAAAGCAAGGCAAGCAGGCCUUUUUUUGUAGCUCAUCACCAUAUGAACCGAAGUAUCACCAAGUGCUCUCAGUGCAGGGAGCUAUUAACAGCGUGCAGGGAGAUGUUUACAGUGUGCAUCCAUCUCCCUUGUACUCAAUCAUGUGAUGUCUCCUAUGAACACUCACAGUAAAUCCCUAGGAGAUGAAAUACUAUUUUUACCAGGCAUGACAAAACACAGGAUGCAAGUAACCUGGGUUCAGGCACUAGAGAUCCCAAGCCACGUCAAUUUAGCGAUCCACAGUGCCCUCAUGCCCUUCUCUGCUUGCUUGCAGGCUGGGAAUCUCUGUUCUGCUGCAGUGCCCACUGCCUCCCUUGUGGCAGUGCUAUGUCUGCUGUUUCUCGGAUUUCCUUUCCAGAUAUCAGGUGGCUUCACUAUCAGAUCUUUCUAGUGCGCAGUUCACGUCUCCAGUUUCCAGGUCCUGUCUCACUGCUAGUGAGCAUCCCCUCAGGACACCUCUUCUCUGGGUAUCAGGGUGGGGCUCCCCCUCGGCACCACGAGGAGUAACAUGGCCCUUGCUCCUGGCUGCUGGAAGCUGCUAACAGGCUCUGGUUCCCCUCACAUGGAAGGAAACCACCACGGCCCUGAUACACCAGGGAAGAAAGGGGCAGGAAGGAGAAAGAGAGGAGGGAAGAGGGCCUGA